CAUCAAAAAAGAUGAAAUGAGGGAUUAGUAUCUGGUUGACAGCGGCCCCUUUAUAUAGGAAUGCCCGACGGUCCAGAUGAAAGCGGUCAAAUCGAGAACACGCUGGAUGACGACACAUGGCAACAUCUGGGCUGACCAUAGAUUGGACGGUUCGACGCACCUGCCAUAGAUUGAACCAUGUCAUCCCUAUCCGUAUGAACGUCUCCGACCCAAUGGCACCCCGACACAUGACGAAAAUCUACAUGCCAGAAUUAAAUCCCACAACAUCGGUUCACAUUCCUGAUACGACGUCGGACACCAGAUCCUCCUGUC
rnacentral:lncRNA from 1 species